rnacentral:lncRNA from 1 species
GAAUCUAAACCGUGAAAACCCUGAAUUUGAGUUGGGCCUGGGUCCAGUUUGAUCUGAGGCUGGAGAAUUUGCGAUGCGGGCUGAAUCCGUUCCAGUAAGCGCGGCAUCCACACAUAACGCAAGGUGUCUCUGAACUCUUUGCUGUUGACAUCGCACCUGAGUUGCUUCGCCUGUUUUAUCACUCUCGUCCUCCAAUAGUUCUUUAUUUCAUUGUCCGUUCUUCCUGGCAGGUGCUGUGCAAUCUUCGACCACCUACGAUAAAACAUUAUACACCCAACCACAUAACAGAAAAACCUUAGAUGAAUUUUAUACCUGUUGCCCCACCGAGAGUGAAGGUCGA